GUUAAAGCAUCCAAUGGAUGAAACCGAUCCAAUCCAAUACAUCCAUUGGAUCGGAUUGGAUUGGAUGACUCAAACAAUUGGAUUGGAUCGGAUGGCAAAAUUCAAUAUCCAAUAAAUAAUUGGAUUGGAUCGGAUGGGUCCAAGUCCAUUGGAUGUGAUCCAAUGAACACCCCUAGCUACAACCAUCGAAACUACAUCAUCGUCAUCGCCUUUACCAUAAACAUCGACACUACGUCUCCACCAUAUUAAUGAAAAUUGAGUCAAUCCCAUUUUCCUUCAGGAGACUAACAAACUGUAUGAUUAUUAUCAAAAUGUGAGAAAUAAGGAAGGGUCAACGAAGAAGAGAAACAACCACAACAGCACUAGUUGCUGCUGCAGCUGUGUAAGGGAGUUGAUGGUGGUGUGGCUGCAACGGUUUGAACUUGAGGACGACUCCGAUUGCUGUUGAUGGUUGAGAAUCUUUGAGAGAGAAUUAGAGGGUAUAGCUCCAAGGAAGGAGAUGACUACAAAGUUCGAGAUUAGGGAAAAGUUAUGCAAAUUUAGAGAAAAGGUGUGAAAUGGAGGGGUAUAAUUGGAAGAAAGAAUGAAAAAGAGGGUAUAAAUUAAAGAAAUAUGAACCGCAAGUAAAAAUGAGAGACACCAACUUAAAAAGGGUAUACGAUCUAAUUUCCCUUUUUUUUUUUUAAAGAGAAAGAAUGAUGGGCCAUAAAUAAUUGUGAGGGAAGAGAGGGAAAAUGGUUUAAUUUUUGAUAAAACACUUGUCUUUAUUCAUUACUCGUCUAAACAAAGUGCAACCUUUCCUUCGACGGACCUUGCCGGGAACCGCCCUUCCGCCUCGCCGUGGACCAACAAAGUCAAAGUGCGAACUCAGAACCAAUCGCUUGGAACAUCUUCUGAAACGUUCUAACUGCUGAAGCUAAGGCUGAAGGAAGAACAGUAGAGGCCCAGAAGUCCAUUGUUCUGAAAUACAAGCUCAACUACAUUGUUAUACCUUAUUGAGCAGAACAUGGCACAGUUAGUAGUGAGGCUCAUGAUGUGGACUAAAUAAUUGGUUGUAUGGCUUUUUGGUUUGUGCUUGUCUUUCACUCUUCACCCCAAAUUUUUUGAAAGCCUUUUAAGUUUUGAGGGAACUAAACUCUGAUUCAGUCUGAGUGUGAGACACCAAAAUGGGAAGACGUAGGCUAGUUUACUAUUCGGAUGAAGAUGAAGGAGAGAACAAUAACAAUCAACCUCAACCCCAGACCCAAUCCCAAACCCACCCCGAACAACCUUCUUCUCUCCCUUCAAGUCCUAGUCCUACUACUAAUAAUGAGGCUCAUGUUUCACCCCUUGAAAUAUCCGAUGAUGGUGAUUUUGUUGAAGUUUCAGAUGAUGAUGAGGAGUUCAUAGACGUCUCUGACAACCUCUCACCUCCUUCACCUCCUUCUCCGCCAGCUCCAGCGCCACAUUCUGAUCACCACAUGCCUCAUCCUAGUACAUUCGGUUGCCCCGUUGGUGACUUUCUUCAAGGGCUUGGAUUAAGGCUGAAGAGAGAAUGGCUUGAUGCUUGUGUUCAGGGACUUGAACGGUCUGUACCGGGCUUUGAAGGCCUCAAUGUUAAUGUGAAAGCCAAGCUUUGUUUUGAACGGUUCUUGGUUUCUGAUAUGAAUCAAUUUGGUGGUGGUUUGCUUCCUGAAAAUGUCCAUUCUCUUCACCUUGUUGAUCUUCCAGGGCGUUAUGUGUUACAGGUUGAUGAGAUUGUCAACAUAAGCUGUCCAUUAAAAAGUAGGUAUCAGAAAGCAGCUCCCGGGAUCAAGAGAUGUCUUAAGUUGUCAAUGACAGAUGGCGUUCAACGUGUGUUUGGCAUGGAAUACAGACCAAUUAAGGAUCUUGAUGCUUUGUCUCCGGCUGGAUUGAAGGUUGUCAUAUGUAAUGUGCAUGUACGGCAUGGACUUCUUAUGCUGGUCCCUGAAACCUUCGAAGUUCUAGGGGGACUAGUUCAGGAGAUGGAGGAAGCACGACAGCGGCUUGUAGAUGAAGUUAAUAAGCCGCCAAGAGGAAUAAGAACCAGGAACAGAGAACUUCCUCCUUUGAGGACUCGAGCAACUCUUGCUGCAUGGUCAUCGAGCAAUGAUCAUGUUCCUGGGAACAACCAUAACACAACAUCUGAUUUCAGAACCCCCUUACAGGUGCAUCAAGCUGCUGCUACUCAUGUUGCGCCGAGUACUAAUACCAAUCAAAGGAUGGAGGAAGACAUCCCUGGACGUGUUAAUGAAGAAAAUUAUAAUCCCAACCCAUCAGCUAAUGUUCAUGAUGUGGAAGAGUCUCCUGAUACUUAUGUUGCACCUGGUAAUGUUGCUGGUCAAAGGAAUAAGGAGGAGCUCUCUGGUCGUGUUAGUGGAGAAAAUUUUAGUCGCAAUCCAUCAGCCAAUGUCACUUUUGGCGAGGAUGGUUCUCCUGCUCCUGCCAGUGCCGAAAGUGUUAUUUCUAAAGCACCCCGCAGUGUUGUUGCAGGUAUAGAACACCUCCAUAUGAAUUCUAUAGGCCCUAACAGCGCAAGUGGUUCGCGCCCCACCGGCCAAUCUUCUGAUGUCGCUUCAGUUAUGGAUGAAACAGAUACAGAUACAGUUCCCCCUACAACGAGAUAUCCAGUGUCUGAUCCAUAUUUAAAUGACAAUGAGGAUACUAUUAUGGUUGACUUGGUUCAACAUCCACUCAUUCUAUCAGGAGCCCGGGAACCCCCUUUCACUUACUUAUCUAGUUUGUCAGCCAAGUUGGCUGCAAUGACAGGAAGGGUUCAUUCUGUUAAGGGUAUGAUUAAGUGCUUUUUAACCGGUGUAAAAGGAUUCCAGUACAGGGAGAAAGCCACCUAUGAUCUUCGGGUGUUUGUUGAUGAUGGUAGUUUAAUCAAAGAGAUUCGAAUACAUCAUAAUCUUGUACAGAAAUUGAUAGGCCAUUCUCCACGAGAGGUAAUGGCAGCUCUUGCUUCUCCAGACACAGGAAUAGUUAACAACAUCAAGGAAACUCUGCGUAAUUUCCAAAACUUCUUAGCUAGUUUUGAGGGGAAAAUGCUUAUAGAGAUGCAUGAUCACCAUGAACAUCCAGUUGCUGUAGAGAUGAAUGUGGGCUGUCCCGAAUCUGAUGCAUUGUUACUUUUGAGAAGAGUGAAGUCCUCAUUUUCAUCUCCUCAAACAAGGUCUCUUCCUGUGGAUCCCAUUGAUCUAUCCCCUUAAUUGUCUUAAACUUCUUUGUCAUGGAAGAUCAUAAGGCCAAGGAAUUGGAAAGACAUGAAAAAGUUGCAGAUGGAUGAAGCAAUGGUCUCUUUGUUGAGCUAGAGAUCUAAAGCUAUUAAAGCCUGAAAGGAAAUAGGUGAUUUUUGAUGGGCUUGUACAACUGCAUUGGAUGAAAUGGGUUCAGUUUUUGGCCAGGCUGCAGACAUGGCCUGAAUACAUAUAAUACUUCCACUAUUUUCUUACUAAUAGUAUCUCUAUCUGUGGAGCCUGGUCUAGGCAUUAUCAGCAACUGGUUGGACCAUUCCAACACCUCAGGAAUAAAGGCAUGCGAAUAAUACAAAGACCUUAUCCAAGUUGGUACUGUCAAAUAGUAAGCUCCCUCACAUGCUUUGUUCACAAUUGCUUUUGCAGUCUCUUUGGCUGGCAUCAUUGGUGUCAUGCUCAUCUCAACCUGUUUCUAAAGUGCCUCUUGGGGUUAAGAAUUUUCCUCGAGUCAUUUUUGAUUCAGUCAAGCCUGGAGACACAAUUGUUAUGCCAACCUCUUUCUCUAUUUCCACUCUUAAUGUCUCAUAAAAGCUUGUCACUGCUGCUUUGGUAGCCUGAAAUGAAAAUUGUAAUAAGAAACUAUUAACUCAAACCACACUUUAAAAGAAAGUUAUACAUGUUUCCUUACACUA